UACGUAGGGUGCGAGCGUUGUCCGGAAUUCUUGGGCGUAAAGGGCGCGUAGGCGGCUCGGCACGUCCGUUGUGAAAUCGCCCGGCUCAACUGGGCGGGGUCGGCGGAUACGGCCGAGCUGGAGCAAGCUAGGGGGUAAUGGAAUUCCCGGUGUAGUGGUGGAAUGCGUAGAUAUCGGGAGGGACACCAGUGGCGAAGGCGGUUACCUGGAGCUUUGCUGACGCUGAUGCGCGAAAGCGUGGGGAGCGAUCCGG
rnacentral:rRNA from 1 species